rnacentral:rRNA from 1 species
GAAUAUUGCGCAAUGGGCGAAAGCCUGACGCAGCGACGCCGCGUGGGGGAUGACUGCCCUUGGGUUGUAAACCCCUUUUGUCAGGGAAGAAGCGAAAGUGACGGUACCUGGCGAAUAAGCCCCGGCCAACUACGUGCCAGCAGCCGCGGUAAUACGUAGGGGGCGAGCGUUGUCCGGAUUCAUUGGGCGUAAAGACCUCGUAGGCGGUUUGGUAAGUCAGCGGUGAAAUUUCGGAGCCCAACUCCGAACGGUCCGUUGAUACUGCCAUGACUUGAGUCCGGUAGGGGAGUGCGGAACUCCUGGUGUAGCGGUGAAAUGCGCAGAUAUCAGGAAGAAUACCGGUGGCGAAGGCGGCACUCUGGGCCGGUACUGACGCUGAGGAGGGAAAGCUAGGGGAGCAAACAG